GCGGGCGUGGUACAUAGGGUGUGCCCUGGGCCUCCAACCCGGAGAAGAGAUUUCGAUUAUCUCCGCCCGCUCCA
rnacentral:tRNA from 1 species